rnacentral:rRNA from 1 species
AUUGAACGCUGGCGGCAUGCCUUACACAUGCAAGUCGAACGGUAACAGGUUAAGCUGACGAGUGGCGAACGGGUGAGUAAUGUAUCGGAACGUGCCCAGUCGUGGGGGAUAACUGCUCGAAAGAGCAGCUAAUACCGCAUACGACCUGAGGGUGAAAGCGGGGGAUCGCAAGACCUCGCGCGAUUGGAGCGGCCGAUAUCAGAUUAGGUAGUUGGUGAGGUAAAGGCUCACCAAGCCGACGAUCUGUAGCUGGUCUGAGAGGACGACCAGCCACGCUGGGACUGAGACACGGCCCAGGCUCCUACGGGAGGCAGCAGUGGGGAAUUUUGGACAAUGGGCGCAAGCCUGAUCCAGCCAUGCCGCGUGCGGGAAGAAGGCCUUCGGGUUGUAAACCGCUUUUGUCAGGGAAGAAAAGGUUCUGGCUAAUACCUGGGACUCAUGACGGUACCUGAAGAAUAAGCACCGGCUAACUACGUG